UGAGGAAUAUUGGACAAUGGGUGAGAGCCUGAUCCAGCAAUGCCGCGUGUAGGAUGAAGGCCUUCGGGUUGUAAACUGCUUUUGUACGGAACGAAACGGUCUUUUCUAAUACAGAAGGCUAAUGACGGUACCGUAAGAAUAAGCACCGGCUAACUACGUGCCAGCAGCCGCGGUAAUACGUAGGGUGCAAGCGUUAAUCGGAAUUACUGGGCGUAAAGCGUGCGCAGGCGGUUAUGCAAGACAGAUGUGAAAUCCCCGGGCUCAACCUGGGAACUGCAUUUGUGACUGCAUAGCUGGAGUGCGGCAGAGGGGGAUGGAAUUCCGCGUGUAGCAGUGAAAUGCGUAGAUAUGCGGAGGAACACCGAUGGCGAAGGCAGCCUCCUGGGCCAGUACUGACGCUCAUGCACGAAAGCGUGGGGAGCAAACA
rnacentral:rRNA from 1 species